AAGAAAAUGGCAGAGUGGUGAUGCGACUGACUUGAAAUCAGAUUAUGGGGGUUCGAUUCCUUCUUUUCUCG
ensembl:Mt_tRNA